UACAUGUGGGGCAAGCGUUGUUCGGAAUUACUGGGCAUAAAGGGUGCGUAGGCGGCUUGUUAAGUCAGGGGUGAAAGUUUUCGGCCCAACCGGAAAAUGGCCUUUGAUACUGGCGAGCUCGGGUGCGUGAGGGGUAACCGGAACGAGCAGUGUAGCGGUGAAAUGCGUAGAUAUUGCUCGGAAGGCCAACGGCGAAGGCAGGUUACUGGUGCGCAACUGACACUGAGGCACGAAAGCGUGGGGAGCAAACAGG
rnacentral:rRNA from 1 species